AUGGACGCGGCGGCCGCCGCCGGCGUGCUCGCGGCGCUGGCGCCCUCCUGGAGCGCGGCGGUGGUGCUGGCCUCCUACCUCGCGUACCUCGCCGCCGCGGGCGCCCUCCUCCCCCGCAAGCUCGUCGCCGGCGCCGUCCUCCCCGACUCCUCCCGCCUCCACUACCGUUGCAAUGGUCUGCUCUCGCUCCUGCUGCUCCUGGGGCUCUCCGCGCUCGGCGUCUACACGGGCUGGAUGACUCCCACGGUCGUGGCUGACCGUGGGCUCGAGCUGCUGUCGACCACCUUCACUUUCAGUGUCAUUGUCAGUUUCCUGCUCUAUUAUACUGGGUUAAGGUCCCGCCAUCAAAGUUCUUCAUUGAAACCACAUGCUACUGGGAGCUUCAUAGAAGAUUGGUGGUUCGGAGUGCAGCUUAAUCCCCAUUUCAUGGGAGUUGACCUCAAGUUCUUUUUCAUAAGGGCUGGAAUGAUGGCAUGGUUGUUUAUCAACCUCUCUUUGCUUGCAAAGAGCUACCUAGCUGGUUCAGUUAACCGUGCAGUCAUUCUUUACCAAUUCUUUUGUGGGUGGUAUAUUAUAGAUUACUUCAUUCAUGAAGAAUUCAUGACCUCCACAUGGGACAUUAUUGCGGAAAGGUUGGGAUUCAUGCUGGUGUUUGGUGAUCUAGUUUUCGUUCCUUUUACCUUCACUAUUCAGGGUUGGUGGCUUCUGAGAAACAAAGUGGAGCUGCCACUUUUGGCUUCCGUUGCUAACUGCAUCAUUUUCCUUAUUGGCUAUCUAGUGUUCAGAGGUGCCAACAAACAGAAACAUUUGUUCAAGAAGGACCCUAAAGCUCCUAUAUGGGGUAAACCUCCCAAAGUUGUUGGGGGAAAACUACUUGUAUCUGGCUACUGGGGCAUUGCAAGGCACUGCAAUUACCUUGGAGAUCUGCUUCUGGCACUCUCAUUCAGCUUGCCUUGUGGAGCCAGCUCUGUGAUCCCGUACUUCUACCCGACCUACCUGCUGAUCCUGCUGAUAUGGAGGGAGAGAAGAGACGAGGCGAGGUGCUCGGAGAAGUACAAGGACAUCUGGGCAGAGUACUGCAAGCUUGUGCCCUGGAGGAUUCUACCUUACGUGUACUGA
rnacentral:rRNA from 1 species